AGCUUUGCACAGUGGCAGUAUCGUAGCCAAUGAGGUUUAUCCCAGGCGCGAUUACUGCUAAUUGAAAUACAGUUGGCAUUGGCAAUUUUUGACAGUCUCUACAGAGC
rnacentral:snRNA from 1 species